rnacentral:tRNA from 1 species
GAAGACUUACAAGACUUAUCUCAUAUCAUCUGAAUGCAACACAGACAUUUUAAUUAAACUAAAGCCUA